rnacentral:rRNA from 1 species
GACGAACGCUGGCGGCGUGCUUAACACAUGCAAGUCGAACGGAAAGGCCCUGCUUUUGUGGGGUGCUCGAGUGGCGAACGGGUGAGUAACACGUGAGUAACCUGCCCUUGACUUUGGGAUAACUUCAGGAAACUGGGGCUAAUACCGGAUAGGAGCUCCUGCUGCAUGGUGGGGGUUGGAAAGUUUCGGCGGUUGGGGAUGGACUCGCGGCUUAUCAGCUUGUUGGUGGGGUAGUGGCUUACCAAGGCUUUGACGGGUAGCCGGCCUGAGAGGGUGACCGGCCACAUUGGACUUGGGAACCGGCCAGACUCCUACGGGAGGCAGCAGUGGGGAAUAUUGCACAAUGGGCGGAAGCCUGAUGCAGCAACGCCGCGUGCGGGAUGACGGCCUUCGGGUUGUAAACCGCUUACGCCUGUGACGAAGCGUGAGUGACGGUAAUGGGUAAAGAAGCACCGGCUAACUACGUG